GACAGAGGUGCCAAGCGUUAGGCGGAAUCACUGGGCUUAAAGCGUGUGUAGGCGGAUGUCUAAGUACCUUGUGAAAUCCCACGGCUCAACCGUGGAACUGCUUGGUAUACUGGAUGUCUUGAGCCAUCUAGGGGCUACCGGAACAAAUGGUGGAGCGGUGAAAUGCGUAGAUAUCAUUUGGAACGCCAAUGGUGAAAAACAGGUAGCUGGGGGAUGUGCUGACGCUGAGACACGAAAGCCAGGGGAGCAAACGGG
rnacentral:rRNA from 1 species